UGGAAACGAGCCGAGCUCGAGCGAGCUUAUGUCAGCUCAAAUUCGGCUUGAAAUUAAUUUCGAGUCUAAAUCUAGGCUCAAGCUCGGCUUGAAAUUAAUUCGAGCCGAGCUCGAGCGAGCCUAAUUUCGAGUCGAGCCGAGCUCAAGCUCUAAACGAGCUGAUUGAAAUUCUCGACAUUAUAUAAUCAAUAGUUUAAUUUUUAUAGAACAUUACCUAUAAUUUGAUGCAAUAUGUCCAAUAGUUCAAAAUACAAAAUAAUUGCAAGAAAUGUGAGCUAGGGUGACUACCUGACUGGGUGAGGGUCCGAGAGAGAGAGAGAGAGAGAGAGAGAGAGAGGGGGGGGAAAAAAUUAGGGAUUUAGGAAUUUGAAUGUUAUCAUAUUUUAGGGUUAUGUGCAACAGUGAAAGUCUAAAAGAGAGAGUGUGUUAUGUAAAUUUAAAGUUGGGCUCAAUUGCACGGUUGUACUUGUUGGGUUUAUUUUUUGAUGGCGCCAACAAUAAUGG
rnacentral:lncRNA from 1 species